rnacentral:rRNA from 1 species
GACGAACGCUGGCGGCGUGCUUAACACAUGCAAGUCGAACGGAAAGGCCUGCUUUCCCUUGUGUAUUGCGGGUACUCGCGUGGCGAACGGGUGAGUAACACGUGAGUGAUCUGCCCCCAACUUGGGUAUAAGCCUGGGAAACUGGGUCUAAUUCCCGAUAGGACUGCAGGGUGGUGCCUGUGGUGGAAAACGAUUUUCUAGUGGUUGGGGCUUAUCUCGCGGCCUAUCAGCUUGUUGGUGGGGUAAUGGCCUACCAAGGCGGGGACGGGUAGCCGGCCUGGGAGGGUGGACGGGCAAAGUGGGACGGAGAUACGGGGCAGAAGACUACGGGAGGCAGCAGUGGGGAAGAUGGAACAAGGGGCGGAAGACUGAGGCAGCGAGGCCGCGGGGGGGAUGACGGGUUUCGGGUUGUAAACUCCUUUCGACCGCGAGGAAGCCACCUGGUUGGAAGGGUGGUGACGGUAGUGGGAGAAGAAGCACCGGCUAACUACGUG